AGAUUUUUUUUUCUUCCUAUUUUUGACGAUUGGAGCCCUUAAGAUGCACGAUGGAAUUGUGUUUUGCAUUUUUUGGUAAAAGGAGCAAAGCGAGGACCUGGAGAUAUACGCUGGAGCAAUCUCCUUGGAAGGAUUCAGCACGAGUAGAUGAUUGAGUAACCCAUCUUGCUGUUCAGCCCACAUGCUGGAAACAAAAGGCUGACUGGUUCCUGGAUGUGUUUAUCUGCUUCUGCUACUGAUCCAGACUGCAGAACUCAUUCCUCCUCGAGGCCUGCAAGCAGUAACCAAUUGUGUAUUCAUGGGAAAAGUUGGAGAUGGUGACCUUGAUUAGAAUGUGUCUGGAGAGGAUGAUAGGAGACAGUUGGUUAUGAAAGAUGUUGAAGUCUUGAAUAGUGAGAAAUUUUUUGUAAACCAGAGUUUAUAGAAAUAUCACUGAUACGGCCUGCCCCCUCAAUUCCUGCCACAGGAGACUUCUAGGGCUGGAGACACUUGUUUAAUAGCUUGUCUAUUCC